rnacentral:misc_RNA from 1 species
GAUGAAGAACGCAGCGAAAUGCGAUAAGUAAUGUGAAUUGCAGAAUUCAGUGAAUCAUCGAAUCUUUGAACGCACCUUGCGCUCCUUGGUAUUCCGAGUAGCAUGCCUGUUUGAGUGUCAUUAAUAUAUCAACCUCUUCAGCUUAUGCUUGUUGAGUGUUGGAUGGUGGGGGUUUGCUGGUGUCUUAUGAAGUCAGCUCCUCUGAAAUGCAUUAGCGGAACAAUUUGUUGACCGUUCAUUGGUGUGAUAAAAAUAUCUACGCUAUUGACGUCAGUCAGUUCAGCUUCUAACAGUCCAUUGACUUGGACAAAUUUUUCAUUAAUGUGACCUCAAAUCAGGUAGGACUACCCGCUGAACUUAAGCAUAUCAAUAAGCGGAGGA